rnacentral:lncRNA from 1 species
CCGUUUUGCCACCAAGGGUGGAGCCGGGGAGUGGCGAGCAAAGAGUCAGACCACCAAUUGUCGGUACAUAUAUAGUAACACUAUAUUGCAGAUUUUAGGCGUUAAUUGGCAUAAUUAAUUAGCUAGGCCAAAUGGUAAGCACUGUGUAAACAUGUGACUCCUGACAGUUGAUGUAGAUGCCCUUUUGGCGAUCAGCGUUGUUCGUAUGGAGUCACGUCGGCAUAAGGAGCAUUUCAAGGGUGGCGUGAUUGUGCAGGUUGUUUUUGAGCACCUUGUCGUGAUCCUGGGUUAGGGUGCUCUUGAGUCCGGAUCAGAUGAUGUUCCUUAGGUUGUUUUUCUAGUUUUUUUUUUUGACCCUCCGAACCCUACCUCCAAGCUCUAGUGUUCUCUUUUUUCUAUGUUUUUCGUCUGUUCGGUUCGGCUUCCCGUAUAAACGGGCCACUUUCUUCCGCGGUCGAACUUCUUUUUCGACCGUUCUUUGGCAAAAAAAAAAAGUACUUCAGGGCUCAGACCUCGGCCGCUCAAACCAAUAGCCUUGACUUCCUCAAUUCGCUAUAUGCAACUUGCAGUUCCUUGAGACCUGGCGGGUGCUCUUUUUAGGCUGAUCAUAUAGUGGGGAGUAACUUAUAAUAGUAACAUGCUUAUGUUAUUAGUUUAAAUUACUAUCUCCAUAGUGGGUAAUAACAUAUGUGUGAUGUCAUGCAUUGUGCCAUUUAUUAGGUUGUAGACUCAUCUUGUCUUAAUUUGUGUGAUGUUAUG